rnacentral:rRNA from 1 species
GGUUGCAAAGACAACGAGCGAACUGUCGAAUUCGGUGCUUCGCGGCUGCUGCCGAUACCUCGACCAUCGAACGUCACAUCCGAGCGAAUGUCUCGUUAGCACGACGACUUGUCUCUCGAUAUUCGUUGCGGGGGGUUCGAGGCAGCGUCGGCGGACCGGUCUCACCGUUUCGAAUGUUUGGUGUGUCGGGAAUCGGUGCCUCGCCGGGCCUUUGUGUUUCGGCUUCCCACGCGUUCGCUUUGGGUUGUCGCAGACAUGCGGGGAUGGCGCAUCGAGGUUCCAGUUCACACCUCCGCCACAGGGGUGCAUCCGGCCCGUUGCACCGUGCCCCUCCCGCGCGGGGCUUCCGUUUGACGACCGUCAGCGGAGGCGCGGCGCCUGGGGCCGGUUCGGUUCCGCCGGAUCCCUCGGCCUCGCUCCCUCGAUGUCUCGUCCAUGCAGACGGCGGCCUCGCGGACCCGGUCGGGACCGUUGAGUAUUUCUGUCCGCUGCGUGGCCGGCAUCGUCGGGGGCAGGCUCACGGAUGGACAUAUGAGCGUCGGUGUUGCGGGCACCAAGGACAGAAAGGGAGUGUCGCCCGGGCUCUGUUCGACGGGGAACGGGCGGCGCUGCACCGAAAAGCACGACUCUCGGCAACGGAUAUCUCGGCUCUCGCCA